GACAGAGGUGCCGAGCGUUUAGGCGGAAUCACUGGGCUUAAAGCGUGUGUAGGCGGGUCGUUAAGUGUCUUGUGAAAUCCCACCGCUCAACGGUGGAACCGCUGGGCAUACUGGCGAUCUUGAGCAGUCCAGGGGCGAGCGGAACAAGCGGUGGAGCGGUGAAAUGCGCAGAUAUCAGGAGGAACACCAAUGGCGAAGGCAGCUCGCUGGGACGGUACUGACGCUGGAGACGCGAAAGCGUGGGGAGCGAACAGG
rnacentral:rRNA from 1 species